AGAGUUUGAUCCUGGCUCAGGAUGAACGCUGGCGGCGUGCCUAACACAUGCAAGUCGAGCGAUCUCUUCGGAAGAGAGCGGCGGACGGGUGAGUAACGCGUGGGUAACCUGCCUCAUACACAUGGAUAACAUACCGAAAGGUAUGCUAAUACAAGAUGAUAUAAGAGAUUUGCAUGGAUUUCUUAUCAAAGCUCCGGCGGUAUGAGAUGGACCCGCGUCUGAUUAGCUAGUUGGUAAGGUAACGGCUUACCAAGGCGACGAUCAGUAGCCGACCUGAGAGGGUGAUCGGCCACAUUGGAACUGAGACACGGUCCAAACUCCUACGGGAGGCAGCAGUGGGGAAUAUUGCACAAUGGGCGAAAGCCUGAUGCAGCAACGCCGCGUGAGCGAUGAAGGCCUUCGGGUCGUAAAGCUCUGUCCUCAAGGAAGAUAAUGACGGUACUUGAGGAGGAAGCCCCGGCUAACUACGUGCCAGCAGCCGCGGUAAUACGUAGGGGGCUAGCGUUAUCCGGAUUUACUGGGCGUAAAGGGUGCGUAGGUGGUUUCUUAAGUCAGGAGUGAAAGGCUACGGCUCAACCGUAGUAAGCUCUUGAAACUGGGAAACUUGAGUGCAGGAGAGGAAAGUGGAAUUCCUAGUGUAGCGGUGAAAUGCGUAGAUAUUAGGAGGAACACCAGUAGCGAAGGCGGCUUUCUGGACUGUAACUGACACUGAGGCACGAAAGCGUGGGGAGCAAACAGGAUUAGAUACCCUGGUAGUCCACGCCGUAAACGAUGAGUACUAGGUGUCGGGGGUUACCCCCCUCGGUGCCGCAGCUAACGCAUUAAGUACUCCGCCUGGGGAGUACGCUCGCAAGAGUGAAACUCAAAGGAAUUGACGG
rnacentral:rRNA from 1 species